rnacentral:rRNA from 1 species
ACUCUGAUCAGAUGUGGUGAGACACUGGAUUUAAGCAUUUUACUCAGCCGAGGAAAAUAAACUAGCCAGGAUUCCCCCAAUAAUUGUAAGAGAAGAGGGAGGAGGACAGUGUCAAAUCCCCACACGCCAGUGGGCACAAAAAAUGUGGCACAUAGUAGACCGACACCCUUGUGUCUCUCAUACGGCCAAGUCAUUCUGCUAGAGGACUUCCCCAUGGAUGGUGUUAAGCCGGUAGCAACCCCCGGCAUGCUGGGAUCUGGUCUUCGCAGAGUAAGGCUGCUUUGGAAUGCAACCCAAAGUGGAUGGUAAACUCGAUCUUGGGCCAAAUAUAGGCGGGAGAUCAAUAUCCAACAAGUACCAUGAAGUAAAGUAGCAGAUAACUUUUAGGAGUGAAUUCAAGAGGCAGUGAAACCAUCAAGAAGUAAAUGGGUGUGGUCCACGCAUUCCGCCUGGAGGAUUCAACAUGGCAGGCUGGUUGGUCACCAGGAAUGCUGGAUCACAUGGCGGGAUCACCGCCCAAGCACAUCUGGCCCCUACUCCAUGAUGGUGCACCGCAUCUGGCUCCAGGUCGUCUGGGAAAGGCCUGGAGUUGUGGUGGCUCUCUCCUCAGGCAGAGAGUGUUACAAGCCCCUGAAAGUGGUUAGGCCAGUCCGCAGGGCCAAGGGUGAUUGGUCACUGCUGCUCAUCUGGCAACCAUCCAGGUCCCUCUCGGUGGUCGCCAGGGCAGUGAAGGGGGACAGGGCUCAUCUUCUCCAAUGUUCAAAUGUGAACUGUGGUAGACUUUCAUUUGUGUGCCUGGACCACAUUGAACCACCAUGUGGGGAGUCUAAUGAAUGGCACCACACAUCCCUCUCGGUGUUCGCCAGGGCAGUGAAGGGGGACAGGGCUCCAAUGUUCAAAUGUGAACUGUGGUGGACUUUCAUUUGUGUGCCCGGACCACAUUGCACGGUCUAACGAAUGGCACCACGGGUCUGCAGUGAAACACGGACCUAGGAGUCUAACGCAAACGCUGCAUGUACCUGCUGAGGUGGGAUCCCAAUGCGGCAUCGCCACGGGCAGACCACCAGCCCGUUUUGCGCACUCUGUUGGGGAGGUGGUAGAUAUGAAUGUGUGUGAUAGGAUCAGUAAGGCAGAGAAGCAUGCUUGGGCAGGGCAGUGCCAGAGUUAUAGGAGCGAAAGACUAAUCAAAGCAUCUAGUAGCUGGUUCCCUCUGAGGUUUCCCUCCAGAUAGCUGGCACUCGAAAACACCAGUUUCAUAUGGUAAAAAAAGUGAUGAGGUGUCUUGGGGCCAAAACAAUCUCAACCAAUUCUCAAACUUUUACAUGGUGAGAAGCCCAGCUCGCUUGCUUGGAGUCGGGCAAGACUGGCAGUGCCGACUGGGCCACUUCUGGUAAGCAGAACUGGAGCUGUGGGAUGAACCAAACAAUGAGUUGAGACAAUGCAAUGCACAUCAGACCCCAGUAAAAAUGUUGGUUGUAAUUGACAGAAUGAUGGUGGCCCUGGAAGUCAGAAUUCACUAAUGAGUUUGUAAAAACUCACCAGCUGAAUUAAGUAGCCCUACAUAUGGAAGGCACUGGAGUGUCAGGCCCAUACACGGUCAUUACCAGUGCCACAAGCUGAGGGGGCUUAGCCAAGAUGUGUAGGAGAGCUGCUGCACUGCGCCCAGAAUCCUAGGGAGAGGGCCCAGGUGGAGCCACCACAGGUGCAGUUCUUGGCGGUGGUACCAAAUAUUCAAAUGAGAACUUUGAAGGCCGAAGUGGGGUAGGAUUCCAUGUGAACAGCAUUUGGACAUAGGUCAGUCGUUGCUAAGAGAUGAGCGAGUGCCAUUCGGAAGGGACGGACAAUGGCCUCCGUUGCCCUCAGCCAAUCGAAAGGAAGUCAGGUUCAGAUGCCUGAAACCACAGUGUCAUAGACGGGUGCACCCGUGGCAUCCAGUGCAGUAACACAAAUACUCCCGGAGAAGCUUGCAGGAGCCCCAGGGAGAGUUAUCUUUUCUUUGUGAAUGACAGGGCACCCUGCAAUGGGUUUGCACCAAAAGAGGGGCCCAAGCCUUAGAAAGCUUUGCAGUUCUGGCGGUUUCCAGUGAGCUCUCACUGGAGUGAUGGUGUGAAUCACAUGCCGGGUCAUACCCAUCUCCACAGCUGGUCUCCAAGGUGUACAGCCUCUUUCAUGUUGGAACAAUGUAGCUAAGGGAAGUCGGCAAGUCGGAUCUGGAACUUUGGCAUGUGGAUUGACUCUAAGGUCUGGGUUGUUCUUGCUGUGGUGCAAAGCAGGUUUGGGCGGGCACCUUGGCUGAAUGAGGCAUCUCACUCCAGGGGGCUGCAGUGACAUGCUCUGGGCCCUUCCUGUGAAUGACCCCACCUGCAGUGGUGGCCUCUGUCUGUUCCCUUCCUGAGGUCCAGAAUUGUGCCUCACCCAAUGCCUAGCAGCUAUCUUAGAACCGGUGCAGACCAGGGGAAUCCGACUGUUUAAGUUCAACUAAGCAUUGUGAAGGCCCACAGCAGGUGUUGACGUAAUGUGAUUUCUGGCCAGUGCUCUGCAUUUAAAAGUGUAGUGAUUGUAUUUUAUUGUAUUGUAGUGAAAGAAGCGCGGGUAAACAGCAGGAGUAACUAUGGCUCCAAUUUCGAUUUGACGGUGAUGGGCAGCAAUAGUAACCCAGAAAGAGCCACUUCACAAAAGUGGUACAAAUAGCCAAAUGCCUCGUCAUCUAAUUAGUGACAUGCAUGAAUGGAUGAAAGAGAUUCCCACUGUCCCUACCUAAUGUGUAGCAAAAUCACAGCCCAGGGUAUGGACUUAACAGGAUCAGCAGAAAAAGGAGACCCUUUUGAGCUUGACUCUAGUCUGGCACUGUGAAGAGACGUGAGAGGGAUAGGAUAAGUGGGAGGCCCUCAGGCUCCGGUGACAUACCACUACUAAAACUCCUUAUUACACUUGCCCAGGGAGGAUGGGUGCAAGCCCUGUGGAGCUCUCUCUUCUGGCUGCUGGGCACAAACUGCUCCGGGGACAGUGGCAGGUGGGGAGUGUGACUGGGACAUACUUGUUUCAAAUGGCAAUGCAGGUGUCCUAAGGCCUGCUGAGGGAGGACAGAAACCUCCAGCAUAGCAGAAGGUCAAAUGCUUGCGUGAUGUCUAUUUUCUAUAUGAUUACAGACCAUGAAAGCAGGGUCUGAUGAUUCAUCUGACUUUUUGGGUUUCAAGCAGGCGGUGUCAGAAAAGUUACACACAGGGAUAACUAACUUGUGGCGGCCAAGUAUUCAUAGUGACACUGCUUUUUGAUCUUUCAAUGCUGUCUCUUCCUAUCAUUGUGAAGCAGAAUUCACCAAGCGUCGGUUUGUUCAGCCACAAAUAGGGAACGUGAGCCGGGUUUACCCAGUCAUGAGACAGGUUGGUUUUACCCUACCCAUGAUUUAUAAUUGCAAUUUUAACCCUGCUCAGUACAAGAGGAACCACAGGUUCUGUGCUUGGCUGAGGAGCCAAUGGGGUGAAGCUACCAUCUGUGGGGUUGUGAUUGGACACUUCUAAGUCAGAAUCCCACGAAACAGCAACAAUACCGCAUUACUGUGGAGCCUUGGUUGUCCUACGAUAGCCGGCCUCUGGGCCAGUGCAUAGAGCUGCUUCCCUCUGGGCUCGAGUGUGGACAGAAGGGGGCCAUCUCUCUCACCUAUGGUGCACUGCAUGUUGGUGGGGAACCUGGUGCUAAAUCAUUAAUAACAAACAGAUUCUGGGUCAGGAUU